rnacentral:piRNA from 1 species
UCACUAUGUUUUGAACCUAAAAAGAUUUC